AAACGUUUAGCAACAGUUGCCGUUUGAAACUGCAUUUCGUCGCGUGCUUUCAGUCGCCGCGUCAAACAAACCGAGACGUAAUUAAAAAUGACCUCGGUGACUUUGUUGGCAACGCAACAAUCCUGUUUUGCUCUGCAAUCUCCUGCUCCCUCUGGUGGAUCUGGCCUGGAGGGGAUGGAGGAAUCAAAGGGUUAAGACUGCCUCUUGGCGUCACCCAGGGCGGAGAAGAGGUCCAGCUUGAUCCUGGUUUCAGCACUCAGACUGUUCUCCAGGUGCUGGGUCUUCUCCUGCAUGGCUGACAGCGCAGACAUCAACACCUCGGUGUCCUUCUCAUUUUCU